rnacentral:misc_RNA from 1 species
UGGCGUAUGCUCGCUGCUGUUUGGAUCUCUUCGUCUCGUGCGUGCAGGUGGCUCUGGUGCCUACCGACUUGCACAGAGAGAGAGAGACAGCGUCGCGCACGUGUGCGCAUGUGCUUCAGCGCCCCUCUUACUGUCGCACACCCACCCUUGUCUGUUUUGCGCUGGGCUUCCCUCGCCUCAACACCCUCCACCGCCCUCCGGUCAGCAGGCCUUGUGGCUCUAGUACCUGCCAGCGCGUUCUCCUCUGAACUACUACGUUAACGUCGCCCAGGCGCGAAGCUGCUGCGUGCGCUGGCAUUUCUUUCGGUUGUUUUCUCUUGUUUUUGCGUUGCUGCCUGACAGCAUCUCCUACCCCCUAGCCUCUCCACUGACUCACGGUCAUGGAGGCCGCCCCCGCUGCCGCUGCGCAGCGACCGCCGCAGACCCAAAAGCGGCCCCGCGAGGAAAGCAACGCCCCGCUACAGGAAGGUAGCAACGGCAGCGUGCCCGCUACCUUCUCCAGCGAGGCCUCCGUCACCACGCCUGUUGCCGACACGGAGCUCGUCGUCGACGUCGAUCAGCCAGAGACCAACCCGCAGGCGCCGGCCGUUGACGCCCCGCGUUCACGAUCGCGUGGACUAGCCGCCGUCGGGCCAGGCUCCAUCUCACCCGUCGCGGCCUCCCGCAGCGGCACUGACGGUGCCAAUAACUGCCAGCCGGCUGCAGCGGUCACAACACUGUCGUCGUCUUCGGCAUCUGCGGACGCGCGCCGCUUCAAGCAGCCCACCCUUGCCGCCUACGGCAUGGUCAGCGACACGAUGGCGCUCAAGAAGGAAAUCAGCGACCGUGACAGUCACAUCGAGGAGCUUAAUCGCGAGGUGGAAGGGCUGCGUGCCGAGGUGGGGCGGCGCAAUGACCAGAUACACUUCAUGGACGGUCAAUGUCGGCAGUACCAGAAGAAACUGGAGCACUUCCAGUCUGUCAUGCGGCAGGAGAUGCUAAGCGCUGCCCAGAAGGACCGCUCGGAGGCACGGCGCGUCCUCUAUCAGAAACAUUUCGAGCUCGGCCAGACCGCGACGUGGCACAGCAACGGCCAGACUGUAUGGAUGGAGGGCGAUCGAGUGCGCACGCUGUUCUUGAAGCUGGCCAACCUCACUCAAAAACGUGAGGAGGUCGAGGCGCUCAAGAAGGCGGCGCAGAGCAACGUGAAGCACCUGGCCCGCCAGGAGCGCGAGCGGGAGGACUCUGGCGCCGGCCCGGACCUGCAGGACGCGCUGAUGGCUGCCCAGAUGGAGUAUCAGCUGCGCGCGUCCGAGCACGCCGCUCUGACCAACACCAUCGCCGACAUCAAGCUGAAGCAGACAGAGAUCGAGCACGAGAAGAAGGCCUUCGUGAAGGAGAUGCGCCGCGUGAAUGACGAGGACACGUCCGAGUUCUUGGCGAUCCCCACCAUCGGCGAGGGAGACCGCUACGUCCUCAUGCAUCUACUAGGCAAGGGUGGCUUCUCGGAAGUGUGGAAGGCGUUCGACCUCGUCGAAGGCCGCUAUGUGGCAUGUAAGAUUCACCACAUUCAGCGCGAGUGGCCUGCCCAGACGCGUACUCACUACCUGCGCCAUGCGCAGCGGGAGCUCGAUAUCAUGCGCGCGCUCGAUCACCCGCAUCUGACGCACCUCUACGACGUCUUCCCUCGCGGUGACAACAUGUUCAUCUCCGUGAUGGAGUACAGCAACGGCAUGGACCUCGACACCUACCUCAAGCGCUACCGCACCUUCAAGGAGGCCGACGCGCGGCUCAUCUUUCUGCAGGUCGUGGACGUGCUGCGCUACCUCGCCUCCCUCGACAGCCCUAUCAUCCACUACGACCUAAAGCCGGCCAACAUCCUGUUGCACCGCGACGACCCAACCAUCCUCGACAUCAAGAUUACCGACUUUGGCCUCUCCAAGAUCAUCGGCGCCACCCGCGAAGGCCCCAGCGACAACCCGUCCAUCGAGCUCACCUCGCAGGGCACCGGCACGUACUGGUACCUGCCGCCCGAGUGCUUCGAAACCUCCUCGACACCGCGCAUCAGCAACAAAGUCGACAUCUGGUCCGCCGGCGUCAUCUUCUACCAGAUGCUCUUUGGCAAGCGGCCAUUCGCCGAGGGCGAGUCGCAGCGCCGCAUAUGGCAGGAAAAGCUCAUCAUUCAAUCCGCGCGCACACUGCACUUCCCAGACACACCCAAGGUAAGCGAGGAGGCCAAGGACAUCAUCCGUGGCUGCCUCGCCUUCAACGAACGCGAGCGAUGCGACGUGUUUCAGCUGAGUCAAGACCCCUACCUGUUUCGCACGAGCCGCCGCUCUGCGCACAAGGCGAAAAGCGCCGCUCCCUCUGGCGUCGGAAGCUCGAACUCACCGCUGAUGCCACCCGUUACCGACGCAACACCGGCAUCAUAGACGCUCGCCGUAUGUGUGUAGCUCCCGCUCUGGUAAGUCUGUCAUUACCUCUUGUGGACAUAUACACGUGUGUCUGUGUGCCGAUGCGCCCAUGCCUUUGUCAUAGAAGAAGACAGCAACAACAUCAUAGAAAGACACACAAGUGGCCUGGAUAUGUCUGUGUUGUCGUCGUUGCGCCUCUUUCACCGUGGACAUACGUACACGCGUCUGCGCCAAUCCAGCCCCCUCGCCCCUCCUGCCCCUCCUGGCCCUCCCCUCUUCACCUCCAUUCAUUUUUUCCUCACGCCAAGCACCAUCAUCUGCCGGGCCAGCGUCGACCGCCUGCAGUCCUUCCCCCUCUUCCCAGCUGACGCCGGUGUGCAUUUUGUCGUGCUGCAUAAUACCG